AGAUCCAAGGAGACGAAUGGUUCAAUCGUCAUUUUCACAAACUCAGGGCCAAAGAAAUUCCUCAGUUUCCUUUGAGUCAUGGCUGUUUCCAGGGCUAUUUCUCUGAGUGGAUCUCUUGUGAUAUCCAGCAUAGAGGACCGGAUUGCAUCUCCAGAGUAGAGGUUGGGCCGGGACUGCCUGAGAGCCAUGCGAGCCUGCAGCUGUAGCAUUUCUUC
rnacentral:lncRNA from 1 species